rnacentral:miRNA from 10 species
GACCAAACCACCCGGUUUGCCUGGGACUGAGAGGAUUCCUGGGAUUUGGGACUUUUAGUACUAAAACUGGGAA